rnacentral:rRNA from 1 species
AGAGUUUGAUCCUGGCUCAGGACGAACGCUGACGGUGUGCUUUAGGCAUGCAAGUCGAACGAGAAAGCCCUUCGGGGUGAGUAAAGUGGCGAACGGGUGAGUAACACGUGGGCAACCUGCCCCUCGCAGGGGGACAACCGGAGGAAACUCCGGCUAAUACCCCGUACGCUUGUUGGGUCGCAUGGCUCGGCAAGGAAAGGUAGCUUCGGCCAUCCGGCGAGGGAUGGGCCCGCGUUGCAUUAGCUAGUUGGUGGGGUAACGGCCCACCAAGGCGACGAUGCGUAGCUGGUCUGAGAGGAUGAUCAGCCACACUGGGACUGAGACACGGCCCAGACUCCUACGGGAGGCAGCAGCCAGGAAUCUUGGGCAAUGGGCGAAAGCCUGACCCAGCAACACCGUGUGGGCGACGAAGGCCUUAGGGUCGUAAAGCCCUGUUGAUAGGGACGAAGGGCGAAGGGUUAAUAGCCCCUAGCUUGACGGUACCUUUCGAGGAAGCCCCGGCUAACUACGUGCCAGCAGCCGCGGUAAUACGUAGGGGGCGGGCGUUGUCCGGAAUUAUUGGGCGUAAAGAGCGUGUAGGCGGUUCGGUAAGUCUGCUGUGAAAUCCUGGGGCUCAACCCCGGGCAUGCAGCGGAUACUGCCGGGCUAGAGGAUGGUAGAGGCGAGUGGAAUUCCGAGUGUAGCGGUGAAAUGCGCAGAUAUUCGGAGGAACACCAGUAGCGAAGGCGGCUCGCUGGGCCAUUCCUGACGCUGAGACGCGAAAGCGUGGGGAGCGAACAGGAUUAGAUACCCCAGUAGUCC